GGCGGUGUGGCGGAAAUGGAUACGCGUUAGGUCCCUAUGGGAAAAAAGUCCUAAGUCAAUGGGGGUUCGAAUCCCUCCUAAGUUG